rnacentral:rRNA from 1 species
AUGCUCUCCCGACCACAAGGCGAGAUUCCAUUUCCCACCAACCCCUCUAUAUAUCCCUUUUCUCUUCCCCUCCACGCCCAUUUCCCCUCGCCUUUCCCCACCUUCCGUCCUCCCCCCGUCGUCGCGGCUCCAGCUAGGGUUUCUCGCCCCCGCCCUCCCGCCCCACCGCCGGCCCCGUCCGCCAUGUCGAAGCAAGGAGGAAAGGCCAAGCCGCUCAAGCAGGCCAAGGUCGCCGAGAAGGACUACGACGAGAAUGACCUGGCAUACCUCCAGAAGAAGAAGGAUGAGCAAAAGGCCCUGAAGGAGCUGAAGGCCAAGGCAGGCCAGAAGGGUGCGCUGGGAGGAUCUGGUCUCAAGAAGAGUGGGAAGAAAUGA